UACGGGGGGGGCAAGCGUUGUUCGGAAUUACUGGGCGUAAAGGGCUCGUAGGCGGCCAACUAAGUCAGACGUGAAAUCCCCAGGCUCAACCUGGGAACUGCGUCUGAUACUGGAUGGCUUGAAUUCGGGAGAGGGAUGCAGAAUUCCAGGUGUAGCGGUGAAAUGCGUAGAUAUCUGGAGGAAUACCGGUGGCGAAGGCGGCAUCCUGGACCGACAUUGACGCUGAUGAGCGAAAGCUAGGGGAGCAAACAGG
rnacentral:rRNA from 1 species